AAGUCGUAACAAGGUUUCCGUAGGUGAACCUGCGGAAGGAUCAUUACAGAAAUAAACUUGAUGAGUUGUUGCUGGCUUUUAUCAAAGCACCUGUGCACACUUGUCAUUUUUAUCUUUCCACCAUGUGCACCUUUGCAUAGGCUUGAAAUCUUGUUUAUGAGCAUCUGAUGCUUACUGGUAAAUUGCAGUUCAUUCUGCUUUUGUCCAAUAUUCAAGCCCUAUGCUUUAUUUUCUAUAUACACCAUGCAUAUUAAAGAACGUAGUUGCAAGGCUGAAUAAGCCCUUAUUAAAACAACUUUCAGCAACGGAUCUCUUGGCUCUC
rnacentral:misc_RNA from 1 species